rnacentral:tRNA from 1 species
CAAAGCAUAGCUUAACUCAAAAGCAUCUAGCUUACACCUAGAAGAUAUCAUGAAAAUAUGACUGCUUUGA